rnacentral:rRNA from 1 species
UACGUAGGUGACCAGCGUUGUCCGGAUUUACUGGGCGUAAAGAGCGCGCAGGCGGUCGUUCAAGUCGAGUGUGAAAGCCCCCGGCUCAACUGGGGAGGGUCAUUCGAUACUGAUCGACUUGAAGGCAGGAGAGGGAAGUGGAAUUCCUGGUGUAGCGGUGAAAUGCGCAGAUAUCAGGAGGAACACCGGUGGCGAAGGCGGGUCUCUGGGCCGAUACUGACGCUGAGGAGCGAAAGCGUGGGGAGCGAACAGG